UUGAUUUUGAGAUGCUUGCAUCGAAGAUGAUUUUAACUAUAAAGUGAGUGGCGAACGGGUGAGUAACACGUGGGUAACCUGCCCAGAAGUGGGGGAUAACACCUGGAAACAGAUGCUAAUACCGCAUAACAAAAUUAACCGCAUGGUUGAUUUUUAAAAGAUGGCUUCGGCUAUCACUUCUGGAUGGACCCGCGGCGUAUUAGCUAGUUGGUGAGAUAAAGGCUCACCAAGGCAGUGAUACGUAGCCGACCUGAGAGGGUAAUCGGCCACAUUGGGACUGAGACACGGCCCAGACUCCUACGGGAGGCAGCAGUAGGGAAUCUUCCACAAUGGACGCAAGUCUGAUGGAGCAACGCCGCGUGAGUGAUGAAGGCUUUCGGGUCGUAAAACUCUGUUGUUGGAGAAGAACGUGUGUGAGAGUAACUGCUCAUGCAGUGACGGUAUCCAACCAGAAAGCCACGGCUAACUACGUGCCAGCAGCCGCGGUAAUACGUAGGUGGCAAGCGUUAUCCGGAUUUAUUGGGCGUAAAGCGAGCGCAGGCGGUCUUUUAAGUCUAAUGUGAAAGCCUUCGGCUUAACCGAAGAAGUGCAUUGGAAACUGGGAGACUUGAGUGCAGAAGAGGAGAGUGGAACUCCAUGUGUAGCGGUGAAAUGCGUAGAUAUAUGGAAGAACACCAGUGGCGAAGGCGGCUCUCUGGUCUGCAACUGACGCUGAGGCUCGAAAGCAUGGGUAGCGAACAGGAUUAGAUACCCUGGUA
rnacentral:rRNA from 1 species